UUUAAGAAAAAAAAUCAAUAAAAACACAACAUUUGAGGAUGAUAUUGGGAAAAAAAAAUCGGGUACCAACCAAAUAUCGUAAUGCUUAUUUGAAAUCUCAAUAAUCCUAUAAAAAUAAACGGAGACAACUCAUGAAAACCAAUUAAAAUAAAAAAUAAAAUUGAAAAAAAUAAUAAAAAUAUUGAGGAUUAAAUUGAAAACAAUAUAAAAAAACAAAAAAAACACAAC
rnacentral:lncRNA from 1 species